UACGGAGGGUGCAAACGUUGUUCGGAUUCACUGGGCGUAAAGGGUCCGUAGGCGGCUCGGCAAAUCGGUUGUGGAAUCCCGGCGCUUACCGUCGGAACUGCUGCCGAAAAUACCGGGCUAGAGGUCGUCAGGGGCGAGUGGAACUCCUGGUGGAGCGGUGAAAUGCGUAGAUAUCAGGAGGAACGCCGGAGGCGAAAGCGACUCGCUGGGGCGAUUCUGACGCUGAGGGACGAAAGCUAGGGGAGCAAACAGG
rnacentral:misc_RNA from 1 species